GAUGAACGCUGGCGGCGUGCUUAACACAUGCAAGUCGAACGGGAAACCUUUUAUUGAAGCUUCGGCAGAUUUAGCUGGUCUCUAGUGGCGGACGGGUGAGUAACGCGUGGGUAACCUGCCUUAUACAGGGGGAUAACAACCAGAAAUGGUUGCUAAUACCGCAUAAGCGCACAGGACCGCAUGGUCCGGUGUGAAAAACUCCGGUGGUAUAAGAUGGACCCGCGUUGGAUUAGCUAGUUGGCAGGGUAACGGCCUACCAAGGCGACGAUCCAUAGCCGGCCUGAGAGGGUGAACGGCCACAUUGGGACUGAGACACGGCCCAGACUCCUACGGGAGGCAGCAGUGGGGAAUAUUGCACAAUGGGGGAAACCCUGAUGCAGCGACGCCGCGGGAAGGAAGAAGUAUCUCGGUAUGUAAACUUCUAUCAGCAGGGAAGAUAGUGACGGUACCUGACUAAGAAGCCCCGGCUAACUACGU
rnacentral:rRNA from 1 species